UCUUUCUGGGUAAUAAGAGCUAUUCAACUCAAUAUGAUUGUGCUUUGGACUAAAAGGACUAACUAAAAGUUUUGGACUAAUUAAAAGUUGCAUUAUUUAUUAAAUGCAACUGCUUCAAUUACAGGUUUAUUAAGGUUUCAGGGAGAAUUUUGAGAAAGAACUUUGAGAAAGAAAAGAAGAAAGAGUCAUCAGAAUGUCAAAUUUCUUCACUUUACAAUAUUAUACAUCUCUCUAACAAGAUGGACAGAUUCAUCACAUGGGGCUAGUAGCAGAGGCUUUCAAACAAAGAAAGCCACAGAGCAGAGUUCUUAUGAUCAUAUGAAGAUUAUGUUGAAGUAUCCUGCAUCAGGAGCAUGGAUCAGCAGAUUCUCAUCAUCACCGACCUCUUCUUGCUGCUCCUCUAGUGCAGCUCCCUCCAUGCCUCUGACACCAGCCUAACAGUGGGC